AUGAAACUACACUCUCUUCAUGUUAUUGACAACAGAUACCUCCCUAACCUCCCAAAAUGUAUUACUCAUUUGUGAAGUAUUGAACUACGAGGUAACUCAAGCAGGAUGCUGGUUAUGAAUGUAGAUUUUGAAGCUAUUCAUAAACACUGGAAAUCCAACUUUGUUUUUAGCUUUCAGUAGAAUGCACGUUUGAUGUGCGUGUGGACACCUCUUUCAAUAGCACUCAGAUCCAUUGGUUAGUGUAGAAUAAAUAAAAACUAGUGGAAAUUGCUUUUUUAUUUUCCAGAGUCCAUGAUUAUUACAUGUUACAAGUAUCGUGGACAUUAAAGACAAGGUUGUUUGUAUAGGUGUAAGGUGUUAAACGGAGAACAAAAAUUUUUUCCUCACCAGUGUCCAAACACCUAUUCUUGAGGGAACAUUUUCUUGCAAAAGACUUUACAUUUCAUUUUUUUUUUUAUCUUUGCACUUUUUCUUUAUUGCAGAGACGUUCUCUCUUUAAGACUUAACUUUGAGCUUCAUGCAGCAAUAAACAAUGUUGGGAGAUUACAUUGUUCAAAGCAUAGGGAAAAGUACUAUAGCCUGAAUUUCUUUGGCUAUUUUGAAUGAUUUUUUUUUAAUUUGCUUACUAGUGUGAACAUUUGCAGUGUGCUGUUUUAUUCCACAAAGCUGACAAUGCUAUUAUUUGUACUAGAAAAUAAAAUUGAACAAGUUAAGAUAAAAUUUUGCAGGCUGUUUGUAGCAACACUUGGAGAGCUGUGGUGUUAAUCUGGAACAUUUGCUCUGUAAAGAAUAUGUUAGUUGUACCUCGGUGUUAAUGGAGGUGGUAAUUGAACCGCUCACACUAGUGUUGGAGAAGGUAAUUGUACAAUUCAUACGGAAACCUUUAGUGCCAGGGGAUGUACACAGAAUCCUUAGGAGCAUGAUCAUUAGCAUUCAUCUUAACUAGGAAACUGGUUAGCUGUGUUACCUCAAGCAAAGGAUUUUUUUUCCCCUGGGAAAACUUAAUUUCCAUGCCAAAUAUUCUCUCCUGUUGUCAGUGUCUUGCGUUUAUGAAGGGUUAUCAUUUAGCAUACUUUGUAUUUAACCACCUGCUUCUGUGAAUUUCAGUCAGUUCCCCAAAUACCCAUGUGAUGAGGAGGAGGUCAAUUUUGUGAAAUGCCUGUUAAAAGGCCAUUUCUGGCAGUUUGCUAGAAUACAGUGGCACCUUGUGGUUGUCAAUAUUUUUAUUUUACAGAUGGAAAUACUUUUUAUGUGAAUGAAAAUAAUUUGUAAUCUGCCUUAGUUGAUUAUUUUUUUCAGUUUUAACUUACUGGCUUCCUUGUCAGAUGUUUUACCAGUAUGAAGUACAUAGAAGCCAUGUUUGCAGGGCACUUUUUUCCCUUACUAGUCUUAACUGUACUGAUCAUUACUUUCUGAAGUGUUCUGUGCUUUAGGAACCUAAGGGGCACUUGUUAAGGUGUCAUUAUAUUUUUUCCAUUGAGUGUAAUUCAGUACAUUUAAUACUCAGUAACAGUGUUGUAAUUGAGUUAACUAGAAAAUGGUUCUUUGAAAACAUUUGGAAAUGUACAUUGAGGUAACCUGCUUUAUUUGCAAAAUUAAAGUGCAAGGUCUAAGAAACUAGUAUUUAUUUUUAAAAAUCUGAGUUUAAGCAAAAACAGCUGUGAGUUCAGUACCUGCCCUUAAGUUUUUCAGCAUUCUGAUUUACGUUUUUUACUCUUUGUUUUUCAUGGUAGAGGGUCUUGCUCGUUAUAGCACUGGCUGGCCUAGAACUUGCUGUGUAGACCAGGCUGGCCGCAAUCUUGUGGCACUCCUGCCUCUGCCUCCUGAGUGCUGGGAUUACAGGUCACGGUACUUGGCUCAGCACUCUGAAAUUAUCUGAUACUUGCAGAAAGUGCGUAAUCUCGUUUUAAGUAAUCAUAGUUUGUAUCUAAAAGUCUACAGCAUAGAAUAGAGCUAAUACCAGGGAUUUUUUUUUAAAAAAAAAAUCAGUUUUAUGAGUGUUUUCAUGUCCGUAUAGAUGUUUGGAUUCAAAUCUUAAAAAUAAACAUAUCAACCAACACUCAGAACUACAGUGAGAUACUUGGGUUUUGGUAUUGGUAUUUUGAGAGGGUCUCACAUUGUACAAUACCCAGGCUGGCCUGGAACUCAUGAUCCUCCCGAUUGCUGAUAUUACAGGUGUGUAUCACCUCACCCAGUAAGAAUUUGUUUACUAAAAUUCCACAACUGCUUUGCAGUCGCUUGGGUUGGGUGGUAACAAUCUAGAGAUACACAGUGAAAAUGAAGCCCAUCAUACCACUGUGCCUUGUUAUUUCAAGGUUCUUUUCAAUCUUCGUCUUGCAGAUUGAUUCCAAUACCAAGUUAUAGUUGAGCCAGCUGUCCAGCCUUAACUCUGUUUAGUGCCCUGUUACUAACAUUCUUUUAACAGAUUGGUUUGUGUUUGAAUAGUACAAUGUUUGGAUUUUACCUCUUGAUAGCUCCAUUUUCCCUGGUGCUGCUUUUAAAGAUGUAAGGCCAUGUGGUGAGGUGCACAGUUGGCCUGGUUAUGGAUCUGUGCCUGUCUUCUCCCAGGAAGAGCUGCUUUGGUAUAGAUGUUUACUUGGAUUCCUAUAAAGAACUUGGCAGCAAUCUUGGAAAGCUCUGUGAAGCCCAUGAGAACCUGAAAAGAUUUGAGCGGGGCUGCCUUUAAGUCUUUGAUCAUGAAGCACAUGUAUGUAUGCUCUGUAAAGACUAAAGUGAUUGUUACAUCAGGGCUUCCUGACCUCUAGGAGACACUUUCAAAAGAGCAAAAGGAGCACAAAGGGAAGUGAAUUUGGUUGGCUGGCUUUAUCUGGUUUCUCAUUUUCUUACCAUUUAAACAUGAACUAAACACCUUUCUCCAGUAUAUCCAGCAGACUCCUGGUUGGGAAGCCCUGUAUUAAAUCUUAAGAAUGUACCCAACUUUUUUGUACAGUGCUUUACACCUGCUAAAUUUUAACUUGUUUAAUGCAAAACAAGACCUUAAAAGGUCAAUCAUACUAAAUCUGGUUUGGUUAUUAAUAGUUACCUUUUAGGAAGAUGCUUUUUCCCUAUGUACUAUGUCAUACUGCAGAUUUAAAAUAUAGACUAUCAAUAAAAUGCAUGAAGUGAU